GGUGAAGGUGCAGUUGGAGAUCUGAGAAUCAAUGUAUUUUCCUCUGAAUUGAUAUUCUCUUCAUUUCUGCUGAUUUGAAUGGUAUUUGAACCAUGGAUCAAAAUAUGUCUGCAAUGUCAGAAAGCAGUAAGAUCUCAUCUAACUCAAGGCGCUGGAUCACAGAAUCAGGGAUCUCAGGU